GACGAACGCUGGCGGCGUGCUUAACACAUGCAGGUCGAACGGAAAGGCCCUGCUUUUGUGGGGUGCUCGAGUGGCGAACGGGUGAGUAACACGUGAGUAACCUGCCCUUGACUUUGGGAUAACUUCAGGAAACUGGGGCUAAUACCGGAUAGGAGCUCCUGCUGCAUGGUGGGGGUUGGAAAGUUUCGGCGGUUGGGGAUGGACUCGCGGCUUAUCAGCUUGUUGGUGGGGUAGUGGCUUACCAAGGCUUUGACGGGUAGCCGGCCUGAGAGGGUGACCGGCCACAUUGGGACUGAGAUACGGCCCAGACUCCUACGGGAGGCAACAGUGGGGAAUAUUGCACAAUGGGCGGAAGCCUGAUGCAGCAACGCCGCGUGCGGGAUGACGGCCUUCGGGUUGUAAACCGCUUUCGCCUGUGACGAAGCGUGAGUGACGGUAAUGGGUAAAGAAGCACCGGCUAACUACGUG
rnacentral:rRNA from 1 species